AUUGAUGUUGAAAUUUAAUCAAAUAGACUCAGAGAAGAAAACAAACAAGAGAAUUGUUGCUGUAACUUUCGUUACUUUAUUCAUCAGAACAUAAGCCUAUUAAAUAGGCAGAACAUCCAAACCACUUAGCAAGACAAUAGCUAUAGAACAACAACAAAGACCCACUAACAUACCCCACUAACCAGAACAUAUGCAGAAACUAACUCCUAAAAACAAGCCACAUCCUAUUGACUAGGACUCCACUAUUACAUUAUUGAAGACACGUAAAAACUGAAAGUUAACUACUUCAACAAUUGAUGGUGUCACUUCAAGGAGUUCUCAAUGUCAAUCACGAAUCGAUACUUAACAUCUCUCUUGAUGAGCCUCUCCAGAGCUUCGUUGGCGUAAUCGAUCGGUAUCACUUCAAUGUUUGGGUAUAUCUUCUGCACCGCACACAAGUCUAUCAUUUCUUGGGUAUUCUUUGUUCCUCCCGUUACGCUACCCGUAACAGUUCUCAUAUCUGCCAAAAGUUCACCGCGAGCAACUUAAUUCACCUAUCAGGUAUGAAAUUUCAUUUAGUAAUCAGAUUUGAGAACAAAAACAUACUGAGGUUAAGGCUGGCUGGACUGAAUUUAACUUCGCUCGGGACGCCGACCAAUGCUAGAAUGCCACCCGUCUUCAAAAGAGACAUGUAAGGAUCAAAUGGGUGAUCACCGGCUGCCGUGUCGAUUAUAAAGUCCAGGGACUUAGCAAUGGCCUGCGUGCAUUGGAUUUAUCAGAUCACAACAGAAUUUGACCACCAUGGAUCUCAAUGUGGAUAAUUCUAGUUUUUCCUCUUUUUACCUUCAUCUGCUCCAGGUCAGAUGAGAUAAUGAAAUGGUCAGCCCCAAGCAGGCUCAGUGCUUCCUCCUUUUUAGAAAUGCUUGUACUUAACACUGUGACUUUCAGUCCAAAAGCCUUCCCAAACUUAACUGCCAUAUGACCGAGCCCACCAAGUCCAAUUACACCUAGAGACUUACCAGGUUGGUUCAUCUUGUGACGUAUCAUUGGAGUGUACACCGUGAUUCCAGCACAGAGCAAUGGCGCUGCUAGAUCCAUCGGGUAGUUUUCUGGAAUCCUGAAGCAAUACCUGUCAAUGAAGCACCACAAUUAAGUUUCCAAAUAACACCAAGACAGGAAGUGAUUUCCCAAUAGAAUCAGCAUCCUGUCUUUGUUGUCUAAAAGGAAUCAAAUCACAGAGCCAGAAAUCCUAUCUUCCACAUGCUUGGGAAUUUUACUUGCUUAGACCACAAUUCAGCAUCAUGUUGUUUCUGUGAUCCUUGUUCUGACCACAAAUUGCUCUAGACAAACAUUUCUUGCUGUAGCAACGUAAAUAAAGCAAUUGCAGCAUACUGGAGACCACACUCGAUUAAAAUUAAGAAAAGACACUUGCUCUAAGAAAGGAAACUAGUGGCAUAUCAUGUAUGCUUGACUGAACACGUAAUUUUGUAUUUCCUUCAAUCAAUUUCUCCAAAGGACUCAAGAUUCCUGCGGCUCUAUCAGAAACAAGAAUUAGUGAAAGCGCAUACAUUUAGCUACUCAUUUGAUCUGAUACUUAUGAUCUAACUCUAACAAUCUAAGGACAGCUUAUUCCAUUCUUGACAAUGGUUAUUCAAAAGAAAGAAUUUCUUUUCGCAUUUAAUAAAGCCAGUUCUCCAUUGAAUGGUUUGAAUGGUAAUUGGAUACAGAGGACUUAAAGACUCUCCAGAGUCGUUAUAGAAAGUAUCUUUAUCCCUUUCCACAAGAUGCAAUUAAUGCCUAAAAGCCAUUCCUCACAGUCCUAUGCAUUAUGCCACUUCUGGUCACAAUCAGAAUAAGAAGAAAAUUAGCAGAGAAGAAGACAUGACAUGAAAUCUUUUUUUGGCCACCAUGAUUUGGAAUUCUGUCACAGUGCAAAAUGCUGCCUAAUAACACUGUGUCAGUAAGCAAUUACCUUUCAUGGACGACAAUGUGACUAGAAUAUCCUCCCUUUGUCACUGUACCAUCUGCAUCAAUUCCAUCAAAAGUCAUAACCGACUUUUCACAUUGGACUUCUAGCCUGUCAUUGCAAUACUCGCACUCUCUGCAUGAAUUGACAUAAGUUCCCACCCCCACAUGAUCGCCAACUUUGAAGCGUUGGACACUGGAGCCAACCUGUUUCACAAUUCCAACUAUCUCGUGCCUGAAUCAAUCAAAAAAAAUUUUCGCAAAUUUUGUUCAGAGAAUUAUGAGGAUGGUGCUAAGAAAAAAGAUUUAACAUUUGAAUCCCGCUGCAUCCUACCCCGGCACCAGAGGAUACUUGGAGUGUCCCUGCACAUUCCUAGUCCAAGCCACAUCUGCGUAGCACACUCCACAGUGCGUGAUCUUAAUCGAGACGUCUUCGCUUCCCACGGCCCUAAAGAGAUGAUUCCCAAACAGGUGAGCAUAUAAUCCAGUGACUAAUCAGACUAGGGUGCCCUUUUUUUCCAUUUUCAAGAUCAACAAACUAAACUUGACCUACGAUUAUUGAGGAAACAAGAAACCAGAAAUGAGAAAAGGAAAAAUUCCAUGACUACAAGCAUAUUUGUCCAUACGGUAGAUACAACCUCAAAUGCUCAGAAAGGCAGCCAGUACAGGAUCCUCAUGUCUGCAGCCAGUACAGGAUCCUCAUGUCUGCCAUGAAAUUCUGAGUAACCCAUAACCAACAAUUCUCGACUCAGAAUUCAGCGCAUACACAACAAAAGAAAGAACGAAAAAAAAUGAAAUGGUCUGGACCGAAACUGUCUCUCGUGAACACUGUACUGAGACUCUCGCAUGAACACUUCGGUAGAAAUCGAAAAAGAAAAAAAAAAAAAAUGGCAAUACCUGCGGGUGAAUUUGUAGGGGGAGAGGAACCCAGAAGGGUCCCGGGCAGCCCAACCGAGGCAAUCCUCCUUCCCACCCUCCGAGCUCAUCUUCUGCACCUACACACCCGGCGAAGCAAUCACACAAACAGGUACGGUUAGAUUCAUCCAAAGAAGAAGAAGAAAGGGUGAGAACGCGAACGAGAGAGUGCCCAAGAUCAGAGACUCGACGGGUCAUCACACGGCGACGACUCGAGUCACAACGAGCUCGCCAUCACUCAUCAACUCACUCACUCACCCACCCCCACCUACCCAAGCACAACCCCACAGCAACUCAGAGAGAGAGAGAGAUGACUACGGAGAUGGAGAGAGGUUACGCGGUGGUGGAGUAUGCGGUAGCGCGAAGAGGGUGAUGAGCCGAGCAGAGUCGAGGACGGGAGGUUCAACGAAGACUUUUGCCCCCUCCUACUUUGCAGGAAAGCUACGAGUCGUCGUAUGGAUUUUAUGGCGGUGGCCCCUAGGCUCUAAAAGAAGGUUCGAGGAGCCUACUGCCUAGCCUUCUUUUGCUGUUGGUUUCAAUAUCUGCUGCUUUUCCGCCUUAGCCCAACCGACAUCGCCCUCAAAAGACAUCAAAGAUAAGGUAGUUGGAAGGAAACAUCAUCCGAAACUUAAAGAUGGGGUAGUUGGAAGGAAACAGUAUACGAAACUUUGGUUCAAUAGGUAACGUGAUUUUCUAAAUUUUUAAUUUACCCAAUAUGAUUUUUUAAAAUUUUGGUAUAGAUUCAACUUAGUCUUUAGAGUAUAUAUUGUCGCAAAUUUUAAAUUAAUAAAAUGACGACGUUGAAUAUUUUCAUAUGAUCAAAUGACAACAUUAAAUAUGUACUAAAAUUUUGAAUAAUAUUGAAUAUUUUCAUAUAAUUUUGAGAUUAUAUAGAAUAUGUAUCAAAGAUCAUUAACUAUAUAGUUCCGUUCAAUUUGCGGAAAAUAAUUUCCGAAAAACCGUUUUUCAGAUUUUUCGACAUUCAUUUCAUGAAAAAUGAAUUCAUUGGGAAAAAUGUUUCUUCUAAAUUAAGGGAAAAUGUUUUCCACUUUUAAAAAGUGAAAAACAUUUUCUUCACUCGAUCUCUCUUAUCUUACACCUCUAAAAAUCUCUACUUUAUCCUCACAUUUCUUUUUCUUCUUUUCUUUUUUUAAUUCAAAUUAUUUUUAAUUUCCUUUUUAUUUUAUUUUUAAUUUUUCUUUAUUUUUCUUUUUCUUUUCUUUGUUUCCCAUCUUUUCUUUCUUGGCUAGUUGUCAGUCAUUACCAAGCGAAUCUCGAGUUCGUCAAUCUUAAGCUCACACUCUGUACUCUUACUUAUCAUUUUCUUUAUUUACUCUAUCCUGCAGUUGUAUAUUGCUCAAACAAAUGGCUCUACAUGCUUUGCUUCUUUUUUCUUUUGUUUAUUAGAACACAAAAGACGCAUGAGAGAACAGGCCACUCAACUGGAAGAUUCUCAUUAGGGCUGUACAUGCUUUGCUUCUUUUCUCUUUUACUUCUUUUUAAAAUCCAUACAGACAUUUUUUAGAGUAGAUGAGCGUUUGACAACAAUGAGGGAACAAAGAUAUGCUCGAAUUUAAAUGCAAGUUCAUAUUUGAUGGGUUUAUAGGUCGGUAAGUGAUGCAUGCCUAAGUGGUGAAGUCUUAGAAAAUAUUUUCCUUACCAAACACCGAAAAAUAAUUUUCGAAACAUUUUCAAGUUUUAGCUUAACACUAGAAAAUAUUGUAAUUUUCCUAGAAAAUGAUUUUUGGAAAAAUAUUUUCCGGAAAUGACCAAUUUUUCACGAAACGAACGGACCCUUAGUCUCGGGAGUUUCUAUGUUACAUAUGAUCUAGUCCUUCAACUUUUCUAUUUGUAUACACUCAAAUCUUUUGUCAUAUUCAGUUUUUAUGCAGUUAAGUUUUAUUUUGUUCAUUCAAAUCAUUCAAUGUUCUCGACUAGUGCAAUUGAGUGCUUCACUCACCCAUCAUAACACACAAUUCCAUUUUUCUUUUUCCAAGUUUGCUUUUCGCUCAUUUGGCACCACCUCAACAUUGUGCGAUAUUUUCUACCUCAAUGAUAAUACUAUGUUAUUGAUUACUAUGACACAUUCAGCAAGAGGAUUUACUGAACGAUUUAAUUGCACGAAUCAAGAAAGUUAGAAGACUUGAUUGAACAAAAUAUAAAGUUAAGAGGAUCAAAUUGUGCCGAUAUGGAAAUUUGGAUGACUAAAAUUGCAUCAAACCCUUUUAUAGGGAGAUGGGUCAGCCACAAUAACAUAUUCUUUUUCAGUGACUGGCUUUGACACAACCAAUGCAACAUUAGUACGAAAAUGAAAGAUGAGUGGACAAAAGAAGGGCAACAGAUGUUAAACGAAACCUGUUUCCCAAAAGCACCAUGCAGAAACUUCCUUUCAUUGGAAAAUUUUUCUUGAAACGGAACUAAAGAUUACUGGCUUCGACAUAACCGAUGAACAUACCAAGAGCUGAGGCCUUAUCCAACAACAACGUGAAAAUGAAAAAUGAGUUGAAAAGAAUGGACAGCAGCUGUCAAAUUAAACAUUUUUUCCAUGUCUCGUUCAGAACUUGUCACUCCUUCAUUACAAUCUUGACCCUUUUGAAAUUGGAAGUGAAGGUUACUGGCUUCGACAUGACCAAUGUAUAACUUGUCGCUCAUGCAAUAUGGUAUAUAGAAAUGAAAGAUGAGUAGAAAAAGAAAUGGACGAUUGCUGUCAAAUUAAAACCUUUCCCAAGUCAACUUGUCGCUCCCCUUCCUUCCAUUAAAAUGCUUUUAUGGUGGAACUGAAGAUUACUGGCUUUGACACAACCAAUGUAAACCCUCCAAGAGGUGAGAGAACUUAUGCAAAAGUAUAAAAAUGAAAGACGAGUCAAAAAGAUGAGGACAAUAACCAAAUGCGUGCAACUCAAUUGCACUUUUUGAUAAGGAUAAACUGCACCUCUCCUCAUCAUUGAAAGAGAUAGGAUUAAACGCAGACGUGAUUGACAUAGAGAUUCUUACUAGAAAUUAAAUAAAAAUAAGUCUUUCUUGGUAACAGGAUGUUUGUUCUCGUGACCGUGUAGGUCUUUCUAGGUUCUCUGACGCGUGCCAUGAGGUCAUGGCAUGUUAUGCAACCAGAGAUAUCCAUUCCAUAUUUCUAUGGUAUCUAUCCAUCGUUACCUCCCGUGAACCUAAGAAGAACAAAACCAAUCCAUAAAGCUGGAGGAUCAAGAACAACCCGCCCUAAGUUAUUGAUGAACUGAGUUAACUGUUUGAAGCCUAAGUAGCGAAUCAUUUAAAGUUUAAGCUACUAAAAUGUCAGAUGCCAAACAGAAGGAAAAUCUACAGAGCCAACAUCUGCAUCGGAUCAACGAUGGCAUAUCAACAACUAAGGGAAAAAUCUGCUACUAAAUAUUUAUCUGAAACUAUAAGCGAGGAUCACGUUGCACUUGCAUAAGUCUGUUAACGCAGGUCAAUGGUCAUGUUCUGGCCAGCUAUGUAAGAAGUUUGAAAACUCUACACGGACAGGCACCAUUUGCAAGAAGACCUGUUCCCUCAAAUGCUCAUCUUUGUACUGAGCUGGAAAUGCUUUUAGCAGAUGACUGUGCCUCCAGAAACAAAUCGCAUGAAGUGGCCCACAAUUCUCUGGCAAGUCCAGUGUCGUACGAAACUAAAGAAGAGUUGAUAGUCCGGCCCUUCCCACCAAAGAAUACACACCAGAAAUUUCCUAUAUUUGCAAGACAGCGGCUAUUAGUAAGCACUGUUCCAACAUAUAAUAGCAGCCGCAUAAGAUUGAUACCACAGAUUAUCAGCAGAGAAGGGAAAAUCAAUUCUGGAAACACUCUGUCAUACCGUAGAAUCAACAUUAAUGGAUUUUACGUCCAAUGCUAGUACGACCUCAAUUGAGGAUAAAACGAGAGAGACUCAUUCAAGAUGGUUCAGAUAAGUGAAGCACCAGUACAGGAAUGCUUUACACCAGCCCCAUUUAGUGGGAAAAAAUCACUAUCACCCAUAUCUGCAGCUGUGGUUGCCUAUUGAGAUGAAACACAAGUGAUUUCAUUGCAGUCCCAUCUAGCAGUCCCAUCUAGCAUAUAGCAGAAAUUAAAGAUAACGAUUGCAGUCAGAAAAACACAUAAGAGAAUUGUUGCUGUAACUCUCGUUACUUUAUUCAUCAGAACAUAAGCCUAUUAAAUAGGCAGAACAUCCAAACCACUUAGCAAGAAAAUAGCUAUAGAACAACAACAACAAAGACCCACUAACACACCCCACUGACCAGAACAUGUGGAGAAACUAACUCCUAAAAACAAGCCAUUUCCUAUUGACUAGGACUCCACUAUUACAUUAUUGAAGACAUGUAAAAACUGAAAGUUAACUACUUCAACAAUUGAUGGUGUCACUUCAAGGAGUUCUCAAUGUCGAUCACGAAUCGAUACUUAACAUCUCUCUUGAUGAGCCUCUCUAGAGCUUCGUUGGCAUAAUCGAUCGGUAUCACUUCGAUAUUUGGGUAUAUCUUCUGCGCUGCACAUAG
rnacentral:lncRNA from 1 species